UUCGCAAUGCCCGAAAGGGUGACGAAGCGACGCCGCGUGGGUGAGGAAGGCCUUCGGGUUGUAAAGCCCUGUCAGGAGUUAAGAAAUGUAGACUCGCUAAUAUCGGGUCUAUUUGACAAAGGCUCCAAAGGAAGCCACGGCUAACUCUGUGCCAGCAGCCGCGGUAAUACAGAGGCGGCAAGCGUUGUUCGGAAUUAUUGGGCGUAAAGAGCACGUAGGUGGUUUUGUAAGUCAGGUGUGAAAGCCUUCUGUUCAAAGGAAGAACGGCAUCUGAAACUGCAGAUCUUGAGUGUAGGAGGGGAGAGUGGAACUUCUGGUGGAGCGGUGAAAUGCGUAGAUAUCAGAAGGAACGUCGGCGGCGAAAGCGACUCUCUGGCCUAUUACUAACACUGAGUGUGCGAAAGUUAGGGGAGCAAACGGGAUUAGAUACCCCGGUAGUCCUAACUGUAAACGAUGGGCACUAAGUAGAGGGGUUUU
rnacentral:rRNA from 1 species